rnacentral:rRNA from 1 species
CGCAAUGUGAUUUCUGCCCAGUGCUCUGAAUUUCUUCACUUUGACAUUCA